GACGAACGCUGGCGGCGUGCUUAACACAUGCAAGUCGAGCGGUAAGGCCCUUUCGGGGGUACACGAGCGGCGAACGGGUGAGUAACACGUGGGUGACCUGCCCUCAGCUCUGGGAUAAGCCUGGGAAACCGGGUCUAAUACUGGAUAUGACUCCAUGACGCAUGUUGGUGGGGUGGAAAGCCUUGUGCGGCUGAGGAUGGGCCCGCGGCCUAUCAGCUUGUUGGGUGGGGUGANGGCCUACCAAGGCGACGACGGGUAGCCGGCCUGAGAGGGCGACCGGCCACACUGGGACUGAGACACGGCCCAGACUCCUACGGGAGGCAGCAGUGGGGAAUCUUGCGCAAUGGGCGAAAGCCUGACGCAGCGACGCCGCGUGAGGGAUGACGG
rnacentral:rRNA from 1 species